UUAGAGAUGAUGCAUGUCUCUAAGCACUCCUUAGGCGCUGGAUGAUGCAAUGCACAGUACAACAAUCAUCCUAUUUAAAAGUGCUCCCCACACGGAAGCUUUUGUUUUUAAACUCUAAUUCAUUCAUUCAUAAAAACCAUUCGAAAACCUUUUUAAAACUGUUUCCCACACGGAAACUCUAUUUUGAAAACCAGCUACCUCGAGGGGUAGAAAUCCGCAAAGCGUAUAAAUCCAAUCUGAAACCAAGGAUCCAAAACCACAUAUCUGAAAACUCCAAUCUCAUGUAUAAUAAAACAUCCAUAAUCUCAUGCAUACGAGGAAAACCAACUCAUUCAAACAAUCAUAAGAUCAUCUAAUCAUGCAUAACGGAAAUCACAACAUUCAAACAUCUAACUGAACCAUUUAUUAUUAUCAACUAUUAAGUGCAGAAAUGAAAAUAAUCAGGGUGACGGUCGCUAUACAAGACUAGCUAGAUCGUCCUCUCGUCGAGCCCAAGAUCCAACUCCUCGUCUAUGUCACCUUGGGGGGGGGGAAUGGGGGGUGAGAAACCGCAACCAUGGUUUUCUCAGUGGGUACGACAGAGCCACGAAGGCAAGCCGUAAUCACCGGAAACCAAAGGAGAUAGAUAAACAAAUAUAGAUGCUGAUAUAUGAAAACGAACUACAGUAGCUACAACAGAUAAAUAAAAAGCAAUAAACAAACCUGCUACUGUAUAGAUAACAAUGCAAAGAAUGCCUCAAAGUACUGAAUAGAAACUGUACCCAAUCUGUGCCUGCUGUAUUGGUCCGCAGACCUCAAGCGCUGCCUGUCACUAACUGCACCGACCUGAUCCAUCCGCCCCGCAGGACGACCCAUCCGGAUAAGUAUACCUCCGAUCGGUGGCCAAACCGAUCUGGUGUCAUGAAUACCCCCAAGUGCCAUGACUAAGUCAUGCUGGUAUGCUCAAACAAAAACAAACCCGGCUAAAGCCGGUGCCUAGGCCGAAGCCAACAACGAGGGCGUACAAUGCCAAACUGAAAUAGAAGCUAGGGCGUACAACGCCGAACCUCGAUCAACCAGAUCGAAACACACGACAAGAGAGUCGAUGUGUUGCCUGGACCCAAGGUCCACAGAGAUACUGAAAUACGAAUGCAGCCUGCUCUACAUGUCUAUCCACAACUAUACAAUGCAAUCAAGGGGUGCGAUAACCAAACGAUAACAAGCAAUGACAUGUAGAGACUAAAUACAGGAAUAGAAAAAUAGGAGAAGGAAGUGAAACGCUCUCACCGACUACCAGCUCGAAGCACCCACCUGUCACUGUCGCGUCGGAACACUGGGUACGCACGAGUCGACCGGACCUACGAAGAUCCAACGGGUCAGUAACCAACCCACUCACCUGAAGUGCACUAUCUCACAAACCCCCACACAGAUCCUCGAAUCGGUUUCCCAAAACCGAUCAUCGUAACUCACCAGAAGUCCAGAAAACCACGCCGGGACGCCGUCAGGACCCACUAAGUGUCCCGGACUCACCGACUCGUGCCACGAGUCACCCGCUGCCCCAAAGCACUCCAAUUUGGAUGCCUUGGCAGCGAACACGAGGUAACACAACAAUACGAUCAUCGCCGGAUAAUCGUACGAAUCCGGAUUCCCGGAAGUGUCUAUUUCGACACCGGAACCCUCCGUCGCUCACCUAUCAUCAUCGAACCCACAAAAUGAUGAUGGUGACCAGCCAACAAGGCUCAGCGACAAAACACGAAGCAACCAAACACCGUCGGAAAGAAUCCAAACCGAAACCACGUUCUUUCGACGAAUUUCGCCAAAAAACGCACCGAAAUCGACUUUUCGAUUUCCGCAAAGACUAUCGGGUCAUGGACAACCAGUCCAGAGGUCAAA
rnacentral:lncRNA from 1 species